AGCCAUAUCACAUUCAAACACUAGUUCUCAUAUGAUCCCUGAAUUAAAGCUGCAUCAAGCUUGGUCAGUACCUAGAUAGGUGACCCCCUGGAAAUACCAGAUGCUGUAAG